CCCCUAGAUGUUCUGGGCCGCACGCGCGCUACACUGAACAGUUCAACAAGUCUUAACCUUGGCCGAUAGGUCUGGGUAAUCUUUGAACGCUGUUCGUGAUCGGGAUAGAUUCUUGUAAUUUUUGAUCUUAAACGAGGAAUUCCUAGUAAACGCAAGUCAUCAGCUUGCAUUGAUUACGUCCCUGCCCUUUGUACACACCGCCCGUCGCACCUACCGAUUGAAUGGUCCGGUGAAAUCUCCGGACUGGCGUGAGUCGGAGCAAUCUGACAAACACCGGAAAGUUGAUUAAACCUUACCAUUUAGAGGAAGGUGAAGUCGUAACA
rnacentral:rRNA from 1 species